rnacentral:rRNA from 1 species
ACACGGUCCAGACACCUACGGGUGGCAGCAGUCGAGAAUAAUUCACAAUGGGGGAAACCCUGAUGGUGCAACGCCGCGUGGUAGGAUGAAGGUUCUUCGGAUUGUAAACUCCUGUCAUUCUUGGGAGUAAGACCUGCSCGGUAAAUAGCCCGACAGGGUUGAUAGUACCAGAAGAGGAAGGGACGGCUAACUUCGUGCCAGCAGCCGCGGUAAUACGAAGGUCCCAAGCGUUUGUUCGGGAAUCACUGGGCGUAAAGGGAGCGUAGGCGGCGUGGUAAGUCAGAUGUGAAAUCCCGGGGCUCAACCCCGGAACUGCAUCCGAUACUGCCAUGCUUGAGGGUUGGAGAGGUAGCUGGAAUUCUCGGUGUAGCAGUGAAAUGCGUGGAUAUCGAGAGGAACACUCGUGGCGAAGGCGAGCUACUGGACAACAUCUGACGCUGAGGCUCGAAGGCUAGGGGAGCAAAAGGGAUUAGAUACCCCUGUAGUCCUAGCAGUAAACGGUGUGCGCUUGGUGUGAGGGGAUUCGACCCCCCUUGUGCCGGAGCUAACGCGUUAAGCGCACCGCCUGGGAAGUACGGCCGUCAAGGCUAAAACUCAAAGAAAUUGACCGGGGACCCGCACAAGCGGUGGAGUAUGUGGCUUAAUUCGAUGCAACGCGAAGAACCUUACCAAGGACUUGACAUGGAUUUCUAAGUCACGUGAAAGCGUGUGACCCUUCGGGGGACUUCCACAGGUGCUGCAUGGCCGUCGUCAGCUCGUGUCGUGAGAUGUUGGGUUAAGUCCCGCAACGAGCGCAACCCCUGUGAACUGUUGCCAGCGCGUAAAGGCGGGGACUCUGUUCAGACUGCCCAGAUCAACUGGGAGGAAGGUGGGGACGACGUCAGGUCAGUAUGGCCCUUACGCCUUGGGCUGCACACGUACUACAAUGCCCAGUACAAUGAGAACCGAGACCGCGAGGUGGAGGAAAUCUACAAAACUGGGCCCAGUUCGGAUUGGAGGCUGCAACUCGCCUCCAUGAAGCCGGAAUCGCUAGUAAUGCUGCAUCAGCUACGGCAGCGUGAAUACGUUCCCGGGUCUUGUACACACCGCCCGUCACAUCAUGGAAGCCGUAGCA